CCUACGGGAGGCAGCAGUGAGGAAUAUUGGUCAAUAGGCGUAAGCCUGAACCAGCCAAGUCGCGUGAGGGAUGAAUGUUCUAUGGAUCGUAAACCUCUUUUAUAAGGGAAUAAAGUGCGGGACGUGUCCCGUUUUGUAUGUACCUUAUGAAUAAGGAUCGGCUAACUCCGUGCCAGCAGCCGCGGUAAUACGGAGGAUCCGAGCGUUAUCCGGAUUUAUUGGGUUUAAAGGGUGCGUAGGCGGCCUUUUAAGUCAGUGGUGAAAGUCUGUGGCUCAACCAUAAAAUUGCCGUUGAGACUGGGAGGCUUGAGUAUGUUUGAGGCAGGCGGAAUGCGUGGUGUAGCGGUGAAAUGCUUAGAUAUCACGAAGAACCCCGAUUGCGAAGGCAGCUUGCCAAGCCAUGACUGACGCUGAUGCACGAAAGCGUGGGGAUCAAACAGGAUUAGAUACCCGAGUAGUC
rnacentral:rRNA from 1 species